rnacentral:rRNA from 1 species
GGUUAAGCGACUAAGCGUACACGGUGGAUGCCCUGGCAGUCAGAGGCGAUGAAGGACGUGCUAAUCUGCGAUAAGCGUCGGUAAGGUGAUAUGAACCGUUAUAACCGGCGAUUUCCGAAUGGGGAAACCCAGUGUGUUUCGACACACUAUCAUUAACUGAAUCCAUAGGUUAAUGAGGCGAACCGGGGGAACUGAAACAUCUAAGUACCCCGAGGAAAAGAAAUCAACCGAGAUUCCCCCAGUAGCGGCGAGCGAACGGGGAGCAGCCCAGAGCCUGAAUCAGUGUGUGUGUUAGUGGAAGCGUCUGGAAAGGCGCGCGAUACAGGGUGACAGCCCCGUACACAAAAAUGCACAUGCUGUGAGCUCGAUGAGUAGGGCGGGACACGUGGUAUCCUGUCUGAAUAUGGGGGGACCAUCCUCCAAGGCUAAAUACUCCUGACUGACCGAUAGUGAACCAGUACCGUGAGGGAAAGGCGAAAAGAACCCCGGCGAGGGGAGUGAAAAAGAACCUGAAACCGUGUACGUACAAGCAGUGGGAGCACGCUUAGGCGUGUGACUGCGUACCUUUUGUAUAAUGGGUCAGCGACUUAUAUUCUGUAGCAAGGUUAACCGAAUAGGGGAGCCGAAGGGAAACCGAGUCUUAACUGGGCGUUAAGUUGCAGGGUAUAGACCCGAAACCCGGUGAUCUAGCCAUGGGCAGGUUGAAGGUUGGGUAACACUAACUGGAGGACCGAACCGACUAAUGUUGAAAAAUUAGCGGAUGACUUGUGGCUGGGGGUGAAAGGCCAAUCAAACCGGGAGAUAGCUGGUUCUCCCCGAAAGCUAUUUAGGUAGCGCCUCGUGAAUUCAUCUCCGGGGGUAGAGCACUGUUUCGGCAAGGGGGUCAUCCCGACUUACCAACCCGAUGCAAACUGCGAAUACCGGAGAAUGUUAUCACGGGAGACACACGGCGGGUGCUAACGUCCGUCGUGAAGAGGGAAACAACCCAGACCGCCAGCUAAGGUCCCAAAGUCAUGGUUAAGUGGGAAACGAUGUGGGAAGGCCCAGACAGCCAGGAUGUUGGCUUAGAAGCAGCCAUCAUUUAAAGAAAGCGUAAUAGCUCACUGGUCGAGUCGGCCUGCGCGGAAGAUGUAACGGGGCUAAACCAUGCACCGAAGCUGCGGCAGCGACGCUUAUGCGUUGUUGGGUAGGGGAGCGUUCUGUAAGCCUGCGAAGGUGUGCUGUGAGGCAUGCUGGAGGUAUCAGAAGUGCGAAUGCUGACAUAAGUAACGAUAAAGCGGGUGAAAAGCCCGCUCGCCGGAAGACCAAGGGUUCCUGUCCAACGUUAAUCGGGGCAGGGUGAGUCGACCCCUAAGGCGAGGCCGAAAGGCGUAGUCGAUGGGAAACAGGUUAAUAUUCCUGUACUUGGUGUUACUGCGAAGGGGGGACGGAGAAGGCUAUGUUGGCCGGGCGACGGUUGUCCCGGUUUAAGCGUGUAGGCUGGUUUUCCAGGCAAAUCCGGAAAAUCAAGGCUGAGGCGUGAUGACGAGGCACUACGGUGCUGAAGCAACAAAUGCCCUGCUUCCAGGAAAAGCCUCUAAGCAUCAGGUAACAUCAAAUCGUACCCCAAACCGACACAGGUGGUCAGGUAGAGAAUACCAAGGCGCUUGAGAGAACUCGGGUGAAGGAACUAGGCAAAAUGGUGCCGUAACUUCGGGAGAAGGCACGCUGAUAUGUAGGUGAAGUCCCUCGCGGAUGGAGCUGAAAUCAGUCGAAGAUACCAGCUGGCUGCAACUGUUUAUUAAAAACACAGCACUGUGCAAACACGAAAGUGGACGUAUACGGUGUGACGCCUGCCCGGUGCCGGAAGGUUAAUUGAUGGGGUUAGCGCAAGCGAAGCUCUUGAUCGAAGCCCCGGUAAACGGCGGCCGUAACUAUAACGGUCCUAAGGUAGCGAAAUUCCUUGUCGGGUAAGUUCCGACCUGCACGAAUGGCGUAAUGAUGGCCAGGCUGUCUCCACCCGAGACUCAGUGAAAUUGAACUCGCUGUGAAGAUGCAGUGUACCCGCGGCAAGACGGAAAGACCCCGUGAACCUUUACUAUAGCUUGACACUGAACAUUGAGCCUUGAUGUGUAGGAUAGGUGGGAGGCUUUGAAGUGUGGACGCCAGUCUGCAUGGAGCCGACCUUGAAAUACCACCCUUUAAUGUUUGAUGUUCUAACGUGGACCCGUGAUCCGGGUUGCGGACAGUGUCUGGUGGGUAGUUUGACUGGGGCGGUCUCCUCCUAAAGAGUAACGGAGGAGCACGAAGGUUGGCUAAUCCUGGUCGGACAUCAGGAGGUUAGUGCAAUGGCAUAAGCCAGCUUGACUGCGAGCGUGACGGCGCGAGCAGGUGCGAAAGCAGGUCAUAGUGAUCCGGUGGUUCUGAAUGGAAGGGCCAUCGCUCAACGGAUAAAAGGUACUCCGGGGAUAACAGGCUGAUACCGCCCAAGAGUUCAUAUCGACGGCGGUGUUUGGCACCUCGAUGUCGGCUCAUCACAUCCUGGGGCUGAAGUAGGUCCCAAGGGUAUGGCUGUUCGCCAUUUAAAGUGGUACGCGAGCUGGGUUUAGAACGUCGUGAGACAGUUCGGUCCCUAUCUGCCGUGGGCGCUGGAGAACUGAGGGGGGCUGCUCCUAGUACGAGAGGACCGGAGUGGACGCAUCACUGGUGUUCGGGUUGUCAUGCCAAUGGCACUGCCCGGUAGCUAAAUGCGGAAGAGAUAAGUGCUGAAAGCAUCUAAGCACGAAACUUGCCCCGAGAUGAGUUCUCCCUGACCCUUUAAGGGUCCUGAAGGAACGUUGAAGACGACGACGUUGAUAGGCCGGGUGUGUAAGCGCAGCGAUGCGUUGAGCUAACCGGUACUAAUGAACCGUGAGGCUUAACCUU